GACGAACGCUGGCGGCGUGCUUAACACAUGCAAGUCGAACGGAAAGGCCCUGCUUUUGUGGGGUGCUCGAGUGGCGAACGGGGGAGUAACACGUGAGUAACCUGCCCUUGACUUUGGGAUAACUUCAGGAAACUGGGGCUAAUACCGGAUAGGAGCUCCUGCUGCAUGGUGGGGGUUGGAAAGUUUCGGCGGUUGGGGAUGGACUCGCGGCUUAUCAGCUUGUUGGUGGGGUAGUGGCUUACCAAGGCUUUGACGGGUAGCCGGCCUGAGAGGGUGACCGGCCACAUGGGGACUGAGAUACGGCCCAGACUCCUACGGGAGGCAGCAGUGGGGAAUAUUGCACAAUGGGCGGAAGCCUGAGGCAGCAACGCCGCGUGCGGGAUGACGGCCUUCGGGUUGUAAACCGCUUUCGCCUGUGACGAAGCGUGAGUGACGGUAAUGGGGAAAGAAGCACCGGCGAACUACGU
rnacentral:rRNA from 1 species